CGGCGAGUGAAGCGGCAAUAGCUCAAAUUUGAAAGCUGGCACCUUCGGUGUCCGCGUUGUAAUUUGUAGAGGAUGCUUCGGCGAGGACUCCUGCCUAAGUCCCCUGGAACGGGGCGUCACAGAGGGUGAGAAUCCCGUAUGUGGCGGGCGGUCCAAGCCAUGUGAAGCUCCUUCGACGAGUCGAGUUGUUUGGGAAUGCAGCUCUAAAUGGGAGGUAAAUUUCUUCUAAAGCUAAAUAUUGGCCAGAGACCGAUAGCGCACAAGUAGAGUGAUCGAAAGAUGAAAAGCACUUUGGAAAGAGAGUUAAAAAGUACGUGAAAUUGUUGAAAGGGAAGCGCUUGCAACCAGACUCGCUCGCAGUUGCUCAGCCGGCCUCUUGGCCGGUGUACUCUUCUGCGAUCGGGCCAGCAUCAGUUCGGGCGGCCGGAUAAAGGUGUCGGGAAUGUAGCACCCUUCGGGGUGUGUUAUAGCCCGGCGCGGAAUGCGGCCAGCCUGGACUGAGGAUCUCGCUUCGGCAAGGAUGCUGGCGUAAUGGUUGUAAGCGGCCCGUCUUGAAACACGGACCAAGGAGUCUAACAUCUAUGCGAGUGUUUGGGUGUCAAACCCAUGCGCGUAAUGAAAGUGAACGGAGGUGGGAACCCCUCACGGGGUGCACCAUCGACCGAUCCUGAUGUCUUCGGAUGGAUUUGAGUAAGAGCAUAGCUGUUGGGACCCGAAAGAUGGUGAACUAUGCCUGAAUAGGGUGAAGCCAGAGGAAACUCUG
rnacentral:rRNA from 1 species